GUAAUUUUUUACAGUGAUUCUUAAAAAUUUUUAAAUUACAGACUUACAGAAAGGUUGCAGAGAUUACAAAGAACCUUUUUUCCCUGAGCUAUUUGAAAGUAAGCCACCAAAGUGAUGUCUUACUACUCCCAAAUAUUUCCUACAAACAAGGACUUUGUCCUACAUAACCAGAAUGCAACCAUCAAAAUCAGAAAAUUGACAUUGAUAAAUUACUACCCUCCAAUCCUCAGACCCCAGUUUUUCCAUCAGUUAUACUAAUAACAUUCUUUAUAGUUGAAGUAUCCAGUUGAGAAUCACACAGUACAUUUAGUUGUCAUGUUGCUUUAUUCUCCUUUAAUCUGGAACAUUUCCUCA
rnacentral:lncRNA from 10 species